AAUACAAACUUGGGUGGUGAUCAAACACGACCCCUGACCCAGAUAUUCCUGAAGAUGAAACAUUAGAAGAUGAAGAAACCGUCAAAGUUGUGGAAUGAAUUAUAGUCAUGACCAAGGGUUCUACUGUAUACUUUUGGAAUUGAUGGGAUUCAAAAAUUUUUACUACCGGU